AUUUGUUUAACAAACAGAUAAAGUUAACAAAAAUAAUUUUUUGUUCUCAAUUAAGAAAACUUAUUUCAGUGUACAAUGCAAAUGAUGUUAAUUAAAAGCACAAAAUCACAUUUUUAAAUUAUGAUGAAAAUUGUAAAUAAACACUACAAAAAUUAUUUAGUUUUAGAAAAGAUUUUAUACUCUAUAGUAAAAAUUUUUCAUUCUGCAAUAAAUAUAUAAAAUAUUUGAAAUAUUUUCUCGUUUUAAAAGGAUUCGCGCACAUCUGGUUCGUCUUAGGAUACGACCACCUAUAGGGGUUUCUUAUUUCAAGAGGACCUAUUUUAUGAGUUUUUCGGUACUAGUUUUUUUCUUAUAGAUUCGUUUAGACUAAAAGUUUGUGAAUUCUUUCGGUUUGGAAUAUUCACAGGAAAUGUUGGAAAAUUGUAACUUUUUUUGAGAGACUUUACUCAGAAAGUCCCUCUCAGCGUCAGUUGCUCUUGAGCAUUUGCCCAAGAAUAUACUGAUUCAACCAGCGUUAAAACUGUUUAAAAUAAAAAUUAUUGAAGUGAGUUAAAAAAGUAAAUUAAAUUAACUAAAUUAAAGGACUACAUAAUCAAGGUCAAUUAUUAUAGGAUGAAAAUACGGAUUUCUUUGUUAUUUGCUUAUAUUAUGUGUUUGGUUAUGCUAUCCUAAAAAUUGAAGAAAAUCUUGGAAUUUUUUCAGAGGGUUUUAUGAAUAUGAAUUCAGCAACAAGGAACAAAAGGAAGGAUUGAGUAAAAAUACCUAACUUUGAUUAUAAAUUAAGCGUCGUAUAUAAUUUAUAAAAAUUGAAAAUUUUUAAUCAAGGUGUAAUGUUUACAACUAAAUUAAGACUUUGUC